rnacentral:rRNA from 1 species
UGGGGAAUUUUGGACAAUGGGGGAAACCCUGAUCCAGCCAUCCCGCGUGUGCGAUGAAGGCCUUCGGGUUGUAAAGCACUUUUGGCAGGAAAGAAACGUCAUGGGUUAAUACCCCGUGAAACUGACGGUACCUGCAGAAUAAGCACCGGCUAACUACGUGCCAGCAGCCGCGGUAAUACGUAGGGUGCAAGCGUUAAUCGGACUUACUGGGCGUAAAGCGUGCGCAGGCGGUUCGGAAAGAAAGAUGUGAAAUCCCAGAGCUCAACUUUGGAACUGCAUUUUUAACUACCGGGCUAGAGUGUGUCAGAGGGAGGUGGAAUUCCGCGUGUAGCAGUGAAAUGCGUAGAUAUGCGGAGGAACACCGAUGGCGAAGGCAGCCUCCUGGGAUAACACUGACGCUCAUGCACGAAAGCGUGGGGAGCAAACAGG